CCAGAUUGUGCACUGGCACUCUCCACCCGACACCAAGUCUUGUGUGGACAUUGAAUCUCUCCUGAUGGGAGCAGAUCUUCCCCAGUUUAUUAUGUGGCUCCCCAAAAAACACUGAGCCUUCCUGAAGACCAGUUGUCUGGCAGUCCUAAACUCCCUCCGAAUCUGGGACUUAGCCUCAAAAUACUCUCUUAGUAACCCCGUUUCUCCAAUGACCACAAUACUCCAAAACAGAGCCUUCCUGCCAGGAAUGAGAGCAAGAGAUUUUAAGAGACUUGAAUACACAGGAUUUCAGAAAUGUGUAAAUCUGUACAUAGACAAGGCCACAGUCACCUAAAAGAAUUAGCUCCCCUGCAGACUAGAGACUACUUUCGAAAUGUAAAAAUAUGGGACUUUACACAGA